rnacentral:tRNA from 1 species
GCCCGUGUGGCCUAAUGGUUAAGGCUUCUGACUUCUAGUAUCAGAGGAUUGUGGGUUCGAGUCCCACCUUGGGCU